UGUUCAGUUGCACACACACUCCCUCUCAAAAUAAACAACUAAACAUCACAAAAAAGAGAGAGAGAGAGAGAAAUGAUAAGCCUAGCUUUAAAAACUCUUUGGCUAGAACUCCUUGAGCCUCCAACUUUCCAGACAGCAAAGCCAGGGGCAUGGAAAACAAUAUGUUAGGGAGUUCUUCCCAGAAAGCAGGUCCAAGGUUUAUUAAGAAUUUCCUCCACGAGAGAACAAGAGUUCUUUAUAAGACCCAUUCAAUCAGUAUCUCAUCCUGGCCACAGACCACUGCCUGUGGAGUCAGCCAUAUUUCUUUAUCCCAAAGGGGAACUUGUAUUAGGAUGUCCUGCCCAGGCCUUCCUGUCCAAGCCUAUAUGGUGGUAGGAAUUCGUCACCCAACCACAAGGUGCCAUAUCCAGAAUGGCUGGAGAGCACCACGUAUCACUAAGGGAUCCUGACCUUGGAGAUGGUAAGAUGGGACUUUGAAUUGUCUCCCUUGGGAAGAAGGCAAGUGGAACUUUGAGGAACAGAUGGGUCAAGAAAAUUUUAGCAAGUUUUGCUCCAUGUGUCCCAUUCAAUCCUACUUUUUUCCUUCUUCAAGUUUUCACCAAAUACUUAGAAUAUUUUUCAAAACUUGCAGAGAUGGCUUUGCUUUUAUUUUUAUUUUCUUCCCCAAACACAAGUACAUUUUAAGGCAAGAACAAAAGUUUGGGAUAAACUGAGAUCAACACAUCACAUUUAUUUGGGCAACUAAGCACAGCAUAGGAAAGACACCACUAGUAAAGCACUCUUUUUAAGUGAGCAUCAUGCUUUAAUUUCUUACAAUUGGGAUUUGACUCUGAGUCCUAAUAGUAACUGAUCUAUUUUCCCCAUUUUCUGCUUCCAUGAAGGAAUCCAGUUUACUCAGUAUAUACAUAGACUGUUAUUUAUUUUCAACUCCAGUGUAUUUAUGCAAUGAGCUACAGAGCAAAAGAAAGCCACCGUGUCCUCGCGGAAAAUGCAUUCUGUUCUUCUUCCACUGUGGGGAUGGGGCGAUCCACAGUUGUGCUGGCUUAAUCAUGCCUGCACCUGGCAAUCAAUCACUCUUCUGGAGACUGCAUCCCAUCAGGCAAUGGCACAAAGAGGACUCUUGCCAGGUAGAAUCAGGGGCAGAAAAUGCAAUUCCAGUCUCUGACAGUGAUUGAACAUAGAUAUGCCAGGGCUUUGCUUGGUAUCCCUGGACCCGAAACGUGCACAGAAAAGUUGCCAAAUGCAUGGCUCAUACUUCCUUCUGAACAAGACUGCCAUGCUAUUUUAAAGUUCUUACUACACAAUUUAUCCACAGCUAAUACAUGGAAAACAAAACUAGAGUUAUAUGUUCUCUGGGGGACGUAUAUUACAAUACGAGAGGUAGACUGCAAGUAGACAGUUCAGUGACAAAGAAUUGGGCCCUGAAUGCCCCACCCAGUGCAAGAGUUUUCUAAGAGGAGAAAAAUUUUCACAAAUUUAAGCCUCUCCUCCUGUAUGUACAUCAUCCCUCAACUGCCCACCUCAUUUUGUCCCCUCCCCAAAAGAAUUCAUGGAAACCUUGGUCCAAUCUAAAUAGAUCCUUCCUGGCUCACAAAAUCACAGGAUGUUGGCAUAGGAAAGCUCCAUGAGCAAUUUUACUUCAUCCUCUUGUAGGACUGGAAAACUAAGCACAAGAAUGGUGAAACUAUUUAUCCAGGUUCAAACAGCUAGUAAGUAUGGGAUUCGGGAUUAGAACCCCCACCUCACAUCUCCUGGUCCAGGGCCUUUCUCUUGUUUACAAACACUUUUCCAGUCAUAUUCAGAUUCCUGAAUGUUGGUAGACAUUUUAUCAACUGAAUCCAUUAGGUAUUAACUACAAUUCUAAAUUUUAACACUGCUGAAAAGACACGUAAGAGGCAACCUCAGUGCUCUGUUUGAAGAGAAGCAAAGAGUGCUCCUUAAUUCUGUUAUGAAUUGCAUCCUUUAUACUUGCAGAUCUUCCCCAAGCAAAGAUUUGUUGGCUGAUAAUCUGGAAUGAGAAGUAUUGCCUUGUCAAAAGAAGAAAUUUAUCAUGGAGAGAGGGAUAUAGUAAUUACAGAGCUACACAUAAAUGACAGUUGUGUGAAGACUGUUAAGGAAAUUGGAAAUCACUCCAAGGCCUAAUAGAUACACCUAACAUAAUCAUCUGGGAAUAAAAGGAACAGAAAGGGGGAUAUUUGCAGCUAUUACACUUGACAGCUAUAAGGGCCUCUGAGCUUCAUAAGAAUCCAGCAAGUUCGGCAGGGCUGGGGAAAGGAUCAUUUUCCUUGUUUUGCACACGAGGAAACACUCAGCUCUAAGUGGCCUACAUUAAGUCAUAUGGAUUUCAAGCUGCAGAGCCAAGACCAGAAUUCAGGCCUUCUGACUGCAAGCCAGUGCCUUUUCAGCUCUGCCAGAAAGCAAAUCAGCGGGGAGGCUGCUGAACAGCUUCUGAGUUGUCAGAAAGCAGAGUUUGCAAGUGGCUUCUGAAGCAGUACAGGUGACAGCAGUAGUUUCCAGGCAUUCUGGAGAUACCAGUGCUCUUUCAAACCAGUCAGUGAUUUAUCUACAAUGGUUAACCUGGAUAUUCAUAACAGACCAUUAAAUAUCAGUGCAAAGAGCACUGGGCCAUGCACUACGCAGUCACUCAAGUGCACAUGGAGGGGACUGCUUUGCAGCUGCCAUGCCACAAGCCAGAGCACUCUCAGGUAUGUCCAUGUCCCUGGGCCCUCAUGGGCCAAUUUACUGCAAAUAACCUCACUGUGCUUUAUAUGCAAAAUCCUAGGCUCUGGCCUCCAAGCUGACAGUAUUAGCUGAGUAAGGCAGAUAUUGAGAAUCAGUAGCAGAAGGAUCCUUA